GACGAACGCUGGCGGCGUGCCUAAUACAUGCAAGUUGAGCGCUGAAGGUUGGUACUUGUACCAACUGGAUGAGCAGCGAACGGGUGAGUAACGCGUGGGGAAUCUGCCUUUGAGCGGGGGACAACAUUUGGAAACGAAUGCUAAUACCGCAUAAAAACUUUAAACACAAGUUUUAAGUUUGAAAGAUGCACUUGCAUCACUCAAAGAUGAUCCCGCGUUGUAUUAGCUAGUUGGUGAGGUAAAGGCUCACCAAGGCGAUGAUACAUAGCCGACCUGAGAGGGUGAUCGGCCACAUUGGGACUGAGACACGGCCCAAACUCCUACGGGAGGCAGCAGUAGGGAAUCUUCGGCAAUAGACGAAAGGCUGACCGAGCAACGCCGCGUGAGGGAAGAAGGUUUUCGGAUCGUAAAACUCUGUUGGUAGAGAAGAACGUUGGUGAGAGUGGAAAGCUCAUCAAGUGACGGUAACUACCCAGAAAGGGACGGCUAACUACGUG
rnacentral:rRNA from 1 species